GAAUUCAAAUGAUUGUUGGCC
rnacentral:miRNA from 1 species